UACCCCUAGGGCCUGUUUUGUAAAUUCCAGAACCUUAAACUUGGAUUUUUAGGUACUGUGUUGGUAUUUACGGGUUUAACGGGCCACGAAAUUAUUAUUUUAAUACCCGUUACUUAUUCUUAUGGCCGAUUAAUCUUUUCUAAGCAUGUAUUGGCUCGUUUACAGUACGGAUAUUAAUGUGAUUUAUUUAACGACAUUGUUAAAUAUAAAUAGUGUUAUUAUCUUAUUAAAUGGUAUCAAACAUUACUGUUAAAUUAAAUAAUGUCAUGGUUUUAGUCAUAUAAAUUAUCCAUGAUAUCUUGUGGGAUGUUUAUACGGUUAAAUGAUAUAUAAACCAUGAUUAUUAUGCUGUGUGCAUUUUAGGAAAUAAAUGGACUGUUUAAUUAUGUCGCAUUUAUAUUAUAUGGAUGUGUUGCCAUAUAGAACCAUGUGAGCUGGUUAAUAAGUUUAGACUCAUUUAUACCUUAUGCAUUCGUUGCGAUAGACAGAUGUGUGGCUGUCAGGGUAUGUGGUUUAAUAUUAUUGGCAUGUGUUGCCUAAUUGACAUACUCGGUAUAUUUAUUAAUAUUGUUGGCAUGUGUUGCCUAAUUGAUAUACUCAGUAUAUUCAUCAGUACAUUGAGAGGUGUCAUCACUGUGUAGUUCGUUAUAGUCUGUGUUGUCAGUAUCGUGCACCAUGUAUAAUAGCUGAUUUCUCGGGUAGGGAAAGGCGACACUUAACCACCUAGUGAAGUCUAAGUGAUCACCGUCUAUUCUGGUUGAGGUCAUGUUAUACAUUGGAUAGUUCCCUUAGGAUGUAUGCAAAUACAGUACUCGUCCGAUUCAUAAUGAUUAAUUUAUUUGAUUAUCUGAUUUGGGUCAUAGUAGAGAGGACUUGCUCGUGGGGUUGACCCACCAUUGUUGUUAUUUCAGGAUACGGUCAGUACCCGUUCCAAGGUUGAGGUUAGCAGUGAGGGACCACCAUCCGAACUCAUCUACUCUUACGAUCCAGUUCAGGCCUGAUCAACUUAUGCGUGGAAAAUGUUGGGGGUGUUACAACGAUAUUGUAAACAACAAAUGGACAAUUCGUCACCCGAGAAUUUGAUACUCGUGACCCGCAAACGAACGGGAUCACCUACGUGGCGAUCAACCGACCCAAGUCGCUGAACUCGCUCAUGAAGGAUUUGGCGAGAGCAUUCACAGCAUUGGACGCCAACGACUUGGAUACGGUCAGUACCCGUUCCAAGGUUGAGGUUAGCAGUGUGGAACCACCAUCCGAACUCAUCUACUCUUACGAUCCAGUUCAGGGUAGAAGUUUUAUGUAUUACUUCAGUUUCAGUUUUUAUUUACUUUUGACGUUGAACUCUCAGGUUUAUAUUUAGGGAUCCUUGACUUAGGAUUUCCAAGUUGUAAUGGAGUACUGUAUUAAAUAAAGGAUGGAUGGAUGUUUUAUUA